AGAGUUUGAUUCUGGCUCAGAACGAACGCUGGCGGCGUGGAUAAGACAUGCAAGUCGAACGAGAGAAUUGCUAGCUUGCUAAUAAUUCUCUAGUGGCGCACGGGUGAGUAACACGUGAGUAACCUGCCCCCGAGAGCGGGAUAGCCCUGGGAAACUGGGAUUAAUACCGCAUAGUAUCGAAAGAUUAAAGCAGCAAUGCGCUUGGGGAUGGGCUCGCGGCCUAUUAGUUAGUUGGUGAGGUAACGGCUCACCAAGGCGAUGACGGGUAGCCGGUCUGAGAGGAUGUCCGGCCACACUGGAACUGAGACACGGUCCAGACACCUACGGGUGGCAGCAGUCGAGAAUCAUUCACAAUGGGGGAAACCCUGAUGGUGCGACGCCGCGUGGGGGAAUGAAGGUCUUCGGAUUGUAAACCCCUGUCAUGUGGGAGCAAAUUAAAAAGAUAGUACCACAAGAGGAAGAGACGGCUAACUCUGUGCCAGCAGCCGCGGUAAUACAGAGGUCUCAAGCGUUGUUCGGAAUCACUGGGCGUAAAGCGUGCGUAGGCUGUUUCGUAAGUCGUGUGUGAAAGGCGCGGGCUCAACCCGCGGACGGCACAUGAUACUGCGAGACUAGAGUAAUGGAGGGGGAACCGGAAUUCUCGGUGUAGCAGUGAAAUGCGUAGAUAUCGAGAGGAACACUCGUGGCGAAGGCGGGUUCCUGGACAUUAACUGACGCUGAGGCACGAAGGCCAGGGGAGCGAAAGGGAUUAGAUACCCCUGUAGUCCUGGCAGUAAACGGUGCACGCUUGGUGUGCGGGGAAUCGACCCCCUGCGUGCCGGAGCUAACGCGUUAAGCGUGCCGCCUGGGGAGUACGGUCGCAAGAUUAAAACUCAAAGGAAUUGACGGGGACCCGCACAAGCGGUGGAUGAUGUGGAUUAAUUCGAUGCAACGCGAAAAACCUUACCUAGCCUUGACAUGUCAGGAAUGCUUCGUAAAUGAGGCAGUGCCCGCAAGGGAACCUGAGCACAGGUGCUGCAUGGCUGUCGUCAGCUCGUGUCGUGAGAUGUUGGGUUAAGUCCCGCAACGA
rnacentral:rRNA from 1 species